rnacentral:tRNA from 1 species
GGUGGGGUUCCCGAGCGGCCAUAGGGAGCAGACUGUAAAUCUGCCGUCAUCGACUUCGAUGGUUCGAAUCCUUCCCCCACCACCA